rnacentral:rRNA from 1 species
CAUUAGGGAAUCUUCCACAAUGGGCGAAAGCCUGAUGGAGCAACGCCGCGUGUGUGAUGAAGGGUUUCGGCUCGUAAAACACUGUUGUAAGAGAAGAAUGACAUUGAGAGUAACUGUUCAGGUAUUGACGGUAUUUAACCAGAAAGCCACGGCUAACUACGUGCCAC